AAAGAUUUGAAGAACAAAUAUAUUCUACAACUAACCAUACAAACAAAUUGUAUAACAAAGAGUUGGAAAAAAGAAGAAGAAAUAAAUCAAAGUGAGACAGGACAUAUCUAGAUGAUAGUCUUACAAUGAGAAAAAUUAGGAUCAAGGAUAUGGAAGCACAUGACUACCGAACAUAAGCAAAGGUGGUUUAUAAAUUUGGCUCGAGAAAGGUACACCUUAAAACUAACAGAUUCAUGAAUCAAUUUGAC
rnacentral:lncRNA from 1 species